GCAGUCGAGCGACAGAUAAGGAGCUUGCUCCUUUGACGUUAGCGGCGGACGGGUGAGUAACACGUGGGUAACCUACCUAUAAGACUGGAAUAACUUCGGGAAACCGAAGCUAAUGCCGGAUAACAUGUAGAACCGCAUGGUUCUACAGUGAAAGAUGGCCUUGCUAUCACUUAUAGAUGGACCCGCGCCGUAUUAGCUAGUUGGUAAGGUAACGGCUUACCAAGGCAACGAUACGUAGCCGACCUGAGAGGGUGAUCGGCCACACUGGAACUGAGACACGGUCCAGACUCCUACGGGAGGCAGCAGUAGGGAAUCUUCCGCAAUGGGCGAAAGCCUGACGGAGCAACGCCGCGUGAGUGAUGAAGGUCUUCGGAUCGUAAAGCUCUGUUAUUAGGGAAGAACAAGUGCGUAAGUAACUGUGCGCACCUUGACGGUACCUAAUCAGAAAGCCACGGCUAACUACGUGCCAGCAGCCGCGGUAAUACGUAGGUGGCAAGCGUUAUCCGGAAUUAUUGGGCGUAAAGCGCGCGUAGGCGGUUUCUUAAGUCUGAUGUGAAAGCCCACGGCUCAACCGUGGAGGGUCAUUGGAAACUGGGAGACUUGAGUGCAGAAGAGGAAAGUGGAAUUCCAUGUGUAGCGGUGAAAUGCGCAGAGAUAUGGAGGAACACCAGUGGCGAAGGCGACUUUCUGGUCUGUAACUGACGCUGAUGUGCGAAAGCGUGGGGAUCAAACAGGAUUAGAUACCCUGGUAGUCCACGCCGUAAACGAUGAGUGCUAAGUGU
rnacentral:rRNA from 1 species